rnacentral:sRNA from 1 species
UGCCUGGCGCUGCGGACGGCGGGCCAUGGUGGUUUGGAUUGAGCUGGGCCCGGCCGGGGCGCCGAGUCGGAGGGGGUGGCAGUGAGCGGCGGCAGAGGCUGCGGGGCUUGGUUUGGCUGACUGGGGAGUCGGCAGGCGGCAGGAACCAUGCGAGGCCAGCGGAGCCUGCUGCUGGGCCCGGCCCGCCUCUGCCUCCGCCUCCUUCUGCUGCUGGGUUACAGGCGCCGCUGUCCACCUCUACUCCGGGGUCUAGUACAGCGCUGGCGCUACGGCAAGGUCUGCCUGCGCUCCCUGCUCUACAACUCCUUUGGGGGCAGUGACACCGCUGUCGAUGCUGCCUUUGAGCCUGUCUACUGGCUGGUAGACAAUGUGAUCCGCUGGUUUGGAGUGGUGUUCGUGGUCCUGGUGAUCGUGCUGACAGGCUCCAUUGUGGCUAUCGCCUACCUGUGUGUCCUGCCUCUCAUCCUCCAAACCUACUCAGUGCCACGACUCUGCUGGCAUUUCUUCUAUAGCCACUGGAAUCUGAUCCUGAUUGUCUUCCACUACUACCAGGCCAUCACCACUCCGCCUGGGUACCCACCCCAGGGCAGGAAUGAUAUCGCCACCGUCUCCAUCUGUAAGAAGUGCAUUUACCCCAAGCCAGCCCGAACACACCACUGCAGCAUCUGCAACAGCAGGAUGCUGGUCCUUGUAGGGAAGGAUUGGCACUGACAUCUCAAGAACUUUGGCCACCGUAACAGAGCCUGUGUCCCUUCCUCACAGGUGUGUGCUGAAGAUGGAUCACCACUGCCACAUACUUCCUCCAGCCCUCUCUAAACUACCCACCAGUCUUCGCCCCUCUUUUCUUAGUUCUGUGGCACUUGCCCUGGGUGCCCUAACUGUAUGGCAUGCUGUUCUCAUCAGUCGAGGUGAGACUAGCAUCGAAAGGCACAUCAACAAGAAGGAGAGACGUCGGCUACAGGCCAAGGGCAGAGUAUUUAGGAAUCCUUACAACUACGGCUGCUUGGACAACUGGAAG